CCUGAACAACCACUGGGUGAAAAGGGGAAAUGAAAAGGCAAGAAAAAAGAAUCACAUGACAAACUAAAAUGGAAACACAACUUGCCAGAACUUAUAGGAUACAGAAAAAGCAACGCGAAGAGAAUCUGUAGCAAUAAACACCUCCUUCGAUAAAAAGGAAAGACGUCAGAUGAACAACUGGGCUUCACACCUCAAGGAACAACAUAACAAGAAGAAACUGGGCCAGAAGUCAGCAGAAGGAAGCGAGUUAUAAAGAUCAAAGAAAACCAAGUAAGCUGGGAAGACAGAAGAAGAAAGCAACUGAAAGCUGGCAUUUGAAAAGAUAAAAUUGACAGAGCUUUAGCCAGACUAACCAAGAAAGAGGCGAUGCAAUUGAUGCUACAGAAGUGCAAAGGGUUCUGAGAGACUACUGUCUUCUUGGCCUCUCGGUGUUCACAGGACAGCGGAGUCGCCUAAGACGCAUCUGUGGGAAUGGAUCCCCACCCCGAGGCGGCCCAAGGCUGCAUACGGGAUGGAGAAAGUUGACUCCAAAGCUGAGAACAGAGCCAUGGUUAUCAGGCAUUGCAUGGUGGGGGAAAUGGAGCCAUGUAGGUGUGGAGAUGCAAACUAAGCUGUAAGGAUGGAAAGCAGGGUGGGACGAGUUUAGAACGGCUGUUGAGCUCUUCCUGGCAGAAGAUGAUGACUUCGAUGAGCCCAGGCACACCAGUGAUGAUGUAAGUGCUUUAUGUGUAGAUAGAUUAACGCUUCAUGCAGAAAUCUGGCCUUGAAGAUAAAGCCCUGCCGACACCGUGUCAUGGGGUGUGUGACUAUGGAAGGCACUGCUCUGGUCUCCCUUGGGUUUCUCCGUGCUCCCAGGUAUUCAGUCCAUAGCUGCCACACCAGCAUGGGAUUCACGAGCCUGUUUCAAUUGCAAUUCAUUAAAAGUAAAUAAAAUUAAAACUUCGGCACCUCAGUCACAUUUAGCCAUCUCCCGGAGGCUUAGUGGCCCACUUGGCCAGUGGCUGCUGGAGCAGAUGGCACAGCUGUGGAAGGUGGCCACCCCUGAGGACUUCUGGCCUGGCGUCCUGGAGAGUCCAGCGCUUCAUCAUUGUAGACUCUUGAGGGGUGGCAUCUCCAGGUGAACGAGUGGGCAUUCACAUGUGCCUCCUUCAGAACUCCAGUCAUGUGCUCUGUCCUCUGUCCCUCGGGGCUCCCUGCCACUGCCCUGCUCUGGGGCUGGGUGAAUAAGCCCCUCCCUGGCAGCCCACCGCGCUCUUCUGCCCCUUCGUCAGAGCUGGCUUGCCUCCCCCAUUGUCCUUGAGUGUCGCUGAUUCACCUCUCUCACUGGAUUGGGAAAUAGGGCAGCAGGGUCCAGUGGGCAUGUGCCAUCUGGGGCGGCAGCUCCGAGGUUGGCUCACCCAUUGAUCCAAACGGCCUGAUUGCUGUCCUUAAUUGUGCUAUUUAAGUAUCAAUAAUCCUGAGGAUGUGUGACACAUAGUCUUUAAAGUUUGAGCUCAGACUUCUUUUCUUUUCUUUUUUUUUUAAAGACAGGAUCUCACCUUGUAGUUCAGGCUGGCCUUGAACUCUCGGUGAUCCUCCUGCCUCAGCCUCCCCAGUGCUGGGAUUAUAAGCAUGAGCCACCAUGCCCAGCUUUGGGCUCAGAACUUCUGAGUGAGCUAGAAGACUAGAAAACUACGGAAGAGUUUAAAAGACAGCAUUCUAUGCAGCACAGAGAAGAAAUUGAAAUACUGAAGGUCUGUGAUACUGAGAAUGAUGGUACAUUGUUAGGAAACCAGGAGGCUCGAGACCCUGUCCUGCUGGUGGACCUCAAGCUGCUGAGGAGAGGCCUCGCCGUCAAGUCCUGGCUCCCUCUAGCUGGAGACCUCAUUGUGAUGUAGGUGGCUCACUGAGGUACAAGCAAGGUGUCCAAAGGCAUAAUGACACCAGGCUCUCCGAGAUGGAAAAUGAAGUGAAGAGUCCCAGAACUGGCUUCUCUUUAGAAUGGAAAAGACCAAAAUUUGACAGCUGUGUUUUUCAGAAUUGUGUGCAUGAUUCAUAAGGCAUCAGGUAAAUAAAUUCUAACUUACUUGUGACAGGAAGUGCAAAUCGCUUUAAUAAAUUCCACACUCCUUAGUGUUCAAGGAAUGAGGAAAGUUUCCUGGUGGAGUCACUGUUGACUGGAGCAGUCCCGGGGACUGGGGCACGGGUGGUGGGUACUGAGCAGGCAGCUCAGGAAGGACCGGACAUCUGUACGCAUGACUUCGUCACCUACUCAUCCCCUGUCACUGACACAGUCAAUCUAUGAAUGUAACUGUGCACUUAACCUUUGUAAACAACUGGACACAAUUGUUUUGAUAUCUUCUCAUCUCUGGGUUUGUUUUCAUGUUUUUUCUAUUAACAUAGUCUAAAACUGGCAUAAAUAUGAAAGAUU
ensembl:lncRNA